UACGUAGGGUGCAAGCGUUGUCCGGAAUUAUUGGGCGUAAAGAGCUCGUAGGCGGUCUGUUGCGUCGGCUGUGAAAACCCGAGGCUCAACCUCGGGCCUGCAGCCGAUACGGGCAGACUAGAGUUCGGCAGGGGAGACUGGAAUUCCUGGUGAUAGCGGUGAAAUGCGCAGACUAUCAGGAGGAACACCGGUGGCGAAGGCGGGUCUCUGGGC
rnacentral:rRNA from 1 species